rnacentral:rRNA from 1 species
UUGGAGGAAUUUGACUUUGUUGUCUUUCCUUGCAUUUCUAGGUCUAUGUUCUUUUUCAUAUAAUCUUAUUGUGAUAUAAUGGACCCUAUAUAAUAUAAACCUAUACAACUUUCAGCAACGGAUCUCUUGGCUCUCGCAUCGAUGAAGAACGCAGCGAAAUGCGAUAAGUAAUGUGAAUUGCAGAAUUCAGUGAAUCAUCGAAUCUUUGAACGCACCUUGCGCUCCUUGGUAUUCCGAGGAGCAUGCCUGUUUGAGUGUCAUUAAUAUAUCAACCUCUUUAAAUUUUGAGAGUGUUUGGAUGUGGGGGGUGUUAUUUUGCUGGCUUUCUCCAAGGUCAGCUCCCCUGAAAUGUAUUAGCGGAACAAUUUGUUGACCGUUCAUUGGUGUGAUAGCAUAUCUACGCUAUUGACGUGAAGCAAGUUCAGCUUAUAACAGUCCAUUGACUUGGACAAUUCUCUAUUUAUUAAUGUGACCUCAAAUCAGGUAGGACUACCCGCUGAACUAA